rnacentral:rRNA from 1 species
GAUGAACGCUGGCGGCGUGCCUAAUACAUGCAAGUCGAGCGAACGGACGAGAAGCUUGCUUCUCUGAUGUUAGCGGCGGACGGGUGAGUAACACGUGGAUAACCUACCUAUAAGACUGGGAUAACUACGGGAAACCGGAGCUAAUACCGGAUAAUAUUUUGAACCGCAUGGUUCAAAAGUGAAAGACGGUCUUGCUGUCACUUAUAGCUGGAUCCGCGCUGCAUUAGCUAGUUGGUAAGGUAACGGCCUACCAAGGCAACGAUGCAUAGCCGACCUGAGAGGAUGAUCAGCCACACUGGAACUGAGACACGGUCCAGACUCCUACGGGAGGCAGCAGUAGGGAAUCUUCCGCAAUGGGCGAAAGCCUGACGGAGCAACGCCGCGUGAGUGAUGAAGGUCUUCGGAUCGUAAAACUCUGUUAUUAGGGAAGAACAUAUGUGGAAGGAACUGUGGACAUCUUGACGGUACCUAAUCAGAAAGCCACGGCUAACUACGUG